UCCCUGAUAGCUCAGUUGGUAAAGAAUCUGCCUGCAAUGCAGGAGACCCUGGUUCGAUUCCUGGGUCGGAA
rnacentral:tRNA from 1 species